AUGCCUUGUGAUAAAACUAUAUUAAUUUCAUCGUAAUUACCAAAAAAAUAAUCAAAAAGGAAUUACGAUAUAAU
ncrna:Parvimonas micra ATCC 33270 dfrA-dnaX RNA